AGCCGCGAGCCGGCAGCUCCUCACGAGCCGGCAGCCUGAGGCGGGCAGUGUGGCGGGGAAGAGGGGAGCGCUGGGUUUAAAAGAAAUGGGAGGGACAGCUCAGGAGCCGUGGGAUGCGGUGCGCUCGGCUGACGCCUCGAGAUCUGCGCUAUCAUCCUAAUGUCAGCCAGACGAGCAUAGCUGCAUCCUGGAGAAGUACCUGGAGCAAGCACUGCAAGGCAUAUGAUUCAGCAACUGUGGUUUUCUCACCUGCAAACACACUGGACUAUAUUGCAUUGAUAAGAUGAGAUGAGUAUGAAUCAGAGGUGUGGGAAUUUUCUAGCUAGAUCUUGCUGCUGUGAAGAGCUAGAAAUUUCUUGUCAGGGCUUCAGAUACUCCUGGUUAGAGCCCCAAACAGAGAGUCACCUGCCUGCCUCAACCCUGUUUGCAAAGAAGGUGAAUUUUUAGAUACGAGGAAAUGGAAAAAAAAAGCAAACCAAAAUUGAGAAGUCCUGGAAUGUAACUGUGGUGAUGACCCAUGAAAAAACUGGGGUGUCAGGCAACUCUGCAUAGGAUGCUGUUCCUCUGCGUAUUCCUGGAAUGAAGUUCAAAAGACUUGUUUAGCAGUGGGUCCAGGGUUGCCCUCACAACAGAAGACUUCGAGUAGCUGGAGCAACAGUUCAGGAAAAGCUGGCUUCUGUGACAUCUGUUAUAGGAGUGAAGCUAUGAAUUUCAUCCAUAACUUCCAACAUCUGGGCUUUGUGUAGAUGGAAACGAAGGACGCCAAGAGGAGAGGAGCCUUGUGUCAGAGCUCAGCAGGCAGUUUCUGAUCCUCUCUCAUUCUGAUUCAACAAGAGCAACCAGAUGAAUGGCAAAUGGAAAACCUCUUUUCAAGUGAAUUUGGAGCAUGGACACUGUCUUGGGGAGAAGAAAGAAAAAAGAGAGAACUGCAAAGAAAGUUUGAAGAGCCUUGUGCUCCUGAAGGGCUGCCUGCCCUUCCUUUUAGCGGCACAUGAGAUAUUCCUAUCGCUGACACAUACCAAGAACUUGAUUGCUUCUCCUCUGCUGCUGCCCUACAGCCUUGCUGAUGAUUUGCAAGGAGAUGAUACCCACCUUGUGCCAUUUUGCAUCUGAGUUUUGAAGAUACCGAGGACCAGCUGCUCCUAUGAACUUCACUGACAGCUGAAAGGACUCAAGAGUGAGAAUCCAUCUUAUGGGCAAGAAGAUUGAAAUAGGUAAUUUUCAUCUUCAGAAAUCAACCUCAGUUUUCUGCUUCUGUCAAAACUUUGUCAAGGCCUGGAAUCUGUACUGGGAUUGUGGGUAACUACUGUUUUCUCUGUGUGUUAAGAAGGAGCAGCGGCACUUCCCAGCCGGCAGUUCCUCGCCUGGACGGGACCUGCCACUCCUCGGGAGCCAGGUGAGCCGAGGGAAGCAACCCACGUUCACACGUAACGGGAAAGUUCGCCAGGAUGCAAAGCAGGAAAAGUAAAACGAUUUACUUUUCAGAGGAAAAUCUCUGCUUGACGCCUUUCCCCGCAGCUAAGCCAAAUGACUUCUUUAUUGAUUGCUGAAGAGCAUUUGCAGUGUCGGCUGGAGCCGGGGCGGGAGCUCGCUCGGGCGGCUGCCGGAUUCCCCGAGACGCGGCCGAGCAGCCCGUCAGGGCGCCCCGUUACGGCCGCUGCUCCCCAGCCCCGGGCGAGCAACCACCGGAGGAGCGGGACUGCGUUACAGCCGGGGGGGUGGCGCAAGGGACAAAGGCGGGGGGACAGGAGGAAG